GAGCGCCCGGUGCCAUGAGAGUGGCACGCCGGGUGCGGGAAGCGGCCCGAAGAAACGGCUCGAUCGAAAGACGAGACCGCGCUUCGGGCCGACUUCAC
rfam:Streptomyces agglomeratus strain 6-3-2 1, whole genome shotgun sequence.